UUUGUUUUGUUUUUGUCUCUGUGUGUGUAGGGAGUGAUUCUGCCUGACAGUCACAUGAUCCUUAAUUAAUUGCUCAAUCAUACGAUGUCCUCUAAUCAGUUGCUCAACCAUAGUACAGUAGUACGAUGCUUUGUUUUAGGGAUCCCCAAAACUGUUGGGGCUCGGAGCUCAGCAGCCUGGCCAGACUCUUAUCCAGAGAGAUUCGUGCUUCAUCGUUCAUACACACACACACCUCAAGCCCUCAAGGUUCAUGCC
rnacentral:lncRNA from 7 species